CGCGGGGCGGCCGUGCAGGGGCGGCCGCGGGGCCGCACGCACGCGCCUCAGAAGGCGCGCCGUUUCCGUAAAGCUACGGAAACGGCUGAGCGGUUUCCCGCGCUUUGUAGAGCCGGAGUGCAAAGACACCAGCUGUUGUGGCAUUCUGCAUGCACACCUCAGGCCCUCGCGGCUGGCUCGGGCUCUCUCUGCAAAGCUUAGACUCAGGCCUCCUUCCGCUCCAUGUGGCUUUGCAUUCGAGUUCACACUCACCCUCUGCUCCCCUUCUUGCGAAAUCCGCAUGCACACAACUCACUCCUCCCGCCACCGCAACAGCGGGGUGAGGGAUACCAGUCGCAGCAGAGGCCCGGGUGAGGGGCCAGGGAUCCUGCCGCCCUCCACCCCCUUGCACGUGCUGUGCAAGGGGCCUGGAGGCUGCCCUCCCUGGCGCCACUGCGGCACCCACCUCACCACGGGGACGACCAGAACCGUCCGGUCUUGCCAUCCCUGAGGAGGUCAACCUAGGUGGGAGACCCAUCUUCGCUAGGUGCCCAGACUUAUUGGCUAACUCACUCGGAGGCUGGAGCUUCUCAGUCCCCAGAGGGUGGCCCUAGGACCUGGAAGGCAAGAAGAACUCCAAGUGAUCUUGCUGUCAUCUUCUAGGCGGCGUCUCAACCUGAAAAACUCUGAAAGCCGCUCCGCCCGCAGGAGAACCCCGCAGCGCCACUCUCCCGGCUCCCGCCCGGCACGGGCGAAUUCCCUGGCUGCCGGCGGCGGGGCUCCGAGUGGGCACCGGCCAGCGUGGGACCCCUGAGAUGGCGGGGCAGAGGCUAUGCCCGAGGCCGAGGCCCUCCCCCUCCCCCGGCCUGCUCAGAAGAGUACCACCACCAUCAACUCACCCCCAUCAAGAAGACCAGCAAAACCCACCUCUUUUCCUUUCUUUUUUCCCGUUUGCUUGGAUGAAAGCUUUAUCUUUUGAAUGA